UACGGGGGGGGCAAGCGUUGUUCGGAAUUAUUGGGCGUAAAGAGCUCGUAGGCGGCUUGUCACGUCGGCUGUGAAAGCCCGGGGCUUAACCCCGGGUCGGCAGUGGAUACGGGCAGGCUAGAGGUAGGUAGGGGAGAAUGGAAUUCCCGGUGUAGCGGUGAAAUGCGCAGAUAUCGGGAGGAACACCGGUGGCGAAGGCGGUUCUCUGGGCCUUACCUGACGCUGAGGAGCGAAAGCGUGGGGAGCGAACAGG
rnacentral:rRNA from 1 species